CCUACGGGUGGCAGCAGUGAGGAAUAUUGGUCAAUGGGCGCGAGCCUGAACCAGCCAAGUCGCGUGAGGGAUGACUGCCCUACGGGUUGUAAACUUCUUUUGUAAGGGAAUAAAGUCAGGCACGUGUGCCUUUUUGUAUGUACUUUAUGAAUAAGGAUCGGCUAACUCCGUGCCAGCAGCCGCGGUAAUACGGAGGAUCCGAGCGUUAUGCGGAUUUAUUGGGUUUAACGUGAGCGUAGAUGGGUUGUUAAGUCAGGUGUGAAAGUUUGGGGCUCAACCGGAAAAUUGCCAUUGAUACUGGCAGACUGGAGUAGGGGUGAGGUAAGCGGAAUUCGAGGUGUAGCGGUGAAAUGCUUAGAUAUCACGAAGAACUCCGAUGGCGAAGACAGCCAACUAAACUGCCACUGACAUUGAGGCGCGAAAGCGUGGGUAUCAAACAGGAUUAGAUACCCGAGUAGUC
rnacentral:rRNA from 1 species